GACGAACGCUGGCGGCGUGCUUAACACAUGCAAGUCGAACGGAAAGGCCCUGCUUUUGUGGGGUGCUCGAGUGGCGAACGGGUGAGUAACACGUGAGUAACCUGCCCUUGACUUUGGGAUAACUUCAGGAAACUGGGGCUAAUACCGGAUAGGAGCUCCUGCUGCAUGGUGGGGGUUGGAAAGUUUCGGCGGUUGGGGAUGGACUCGCGGCUUAUCAGCUUGUUGGUGGGGUAGUGGCUUACCAAGGCUUUGACGGGUAGCCGGCCUGAGAGGGUGACCGGCCACAUUGGGACUGAGAUACGGCCCAGACUCCUACGGGAGGCAGCAGUGGGGAAUAUUGCACAAUGGGCGGAAGCCUGAUGCAGCAACGCCGCGUGCGGGAUGACGGCCUUCGGGUUGUAAACCGCUUUCGCCUGUGACGAAGCGUGAGUGACGGUAAUGGGUAAAGAAGCACCGGCUAACUACGUGCCGGCAGCCGCGGUGAUACGUAGGGUGCGAGCGUUGUCCGGAUUUAUUGGGCGUAAAGGGCUCGUAGGUGGUUGAUCGCGUCGGAAGUGUAAUCUUGGGGCUUAACCCUGAGCGUGCUUUCGAUACGGGUUGACUUGAGGAAGGUAGGGGAGAAUGGAAUUCCUGGUGGAGCGGUGGAAUGCGCAGAUAUCAGGAGGAACACCAGUGGCGAAGGCGGUUCUCUGGGCCUUUCCUGACGCUGAGGAGCGAAAGCGUGGGGAGCGAACAGGCUUAGAUACCCUGGUAGUCCACGCUGUAAACGGUGGGUACUAGGUGUGGGGUCCAUUCCACGGGUUCCGUGCCGUAGCUAACGCUUUAAGUACCCCGCCUGGGGAGUACGGCCGCAAGGCUAAAACUCAAAGGAAUUGACGGGGCCCCGCACAAGCGGCGGAGCAUGCGGAUUAAUUCGAUGCAACGCGUAGAACCUUACCUGGGUUUGACAUGGAUCGGGAGCGCUCAGAGAUGGGUGUGCCUCUUUUGGGGUCGGUUCACAGGUGGUGCAUGGCUGUCGUCAGCUCGUGUCGUGAGAUGUUGGGUUAAGUCCCGCAACGAGCGCAACCCUUGUUCACUGUUGCCAGCACGUUAUGGUGGGGACUCAGUGGAGACCGCCGGGGUCAACUCGGAGGAAGGUGGGGAUGACGUCAAGUCAUCAUGCCCCUUAUGUCCAGGGCUUCACGCAUGCUACAAUGGCUGGUACAGAGAGUGGCGAGCCUGUGAGGGUGAGCGAAUCUCGGAAAGCCGGUCUCAGUUCGGAUUGGGGUCUGCAACUCGACCUCAUGAAGUCGGAGUCGCUAGUAAUCGCAGAUCAGCAACGCUGCGGUGAAUACGUUCCCGGGGCU
rnacentral:rRNA from 1 species